UACAGAGGGUGCAAGCGUUAAUCGGAAUUACUGGGCGUAAAGCGUGCGUAGACGGUGGCGUAAGUCGGGUGUGAAAUCCCCGGGCUCAACCUGGGAACUGCAUUUGUGACUGUAGAGCUGGAGUACGGUAGAGGGGGAUGGAAUUCCGCGUGUAGCAGUGAAAUGCGUAGAUAUGCGGAGGAACACCGAUGGCGAAGGCAAUCCCCUGGACCUGUACUGACGCUCAUGCACGAAAGCGUGGGGAGCAAACAGG
rnacentral:rRNA from 1 species